ACCCUCUUUCCCUACAAGAAGCUGACCUCCUAUCUCCCGCUUUCUUUAGUGAUAUCGGUCUCUUCCUCCUUAACUCUUGAUUAUUUUUGUUAGGAAAUCACUUUAAAUAUAGCAUUUCUUUGCAAAUGUUCUUCUUCAACAU